rnacentral:lncRNA from 1 species
CUUGCUAUAUCUGAUUGAUGUCUUUUGCCUGAUUCAGUGUGCAUCAUUCCUCCAGCCUACCUGGGAACUAUCCCCAGGAGAGUCCACCAGAGAGAGACAAGAUAGUCUAAGGCAGGGGUCCCCAACUCCCGGUACCCGUUCAUAGCCAGUUAGGAGCCGAACCACGCAGCAGAAGGUGAGCUGCAGGGUCGAAGCUUCAUCUGUAUUUACAGCUGCUCCCCCACCCCCCGACCAUUGCUCCAAUUACCGCCUGAGCUCACCUCCUGUCAGAUCGGCAGCAGCAUUAGACUCUCACAGAAGCACGAACCCUAUUGUGAACUGUGCAAGAAAGGUAUGUAGGCUGCCCGCUCCUUAUG